rnacentral:rRNA from 1 species
UACGUAGGGUGCGAGCGUUGUCCGGAAUUCUUGGGCGUAAAGGGCUCGUAGGCGGUUUGUCGCGUCGGGAGUGAAAACACCGGGCUUAACUCGGUGCUUGCUUUCGAUACGGGCAGACUAGAGGUAUGCAGGGGAGAACGGAAUUCCUGGUGUAGCGGUGAAAUGCGCAGAUAUCAGGAGGAACACCGGUGGCGAAGGCGGUUCUCUGGGCAUUACCUGACGCUGAGGAGCGAAAGUGUGGGGAGCGAACAGG